UGCUUGCAGAUGACUGAUUAGUAGCGAACGGGUGAGUAACACGUGGGAAAUCUACCCAUGAGUGGGGAAUAACAUUCGGAAACGGAUGCUAAUACCGCAUAAGUUCUUUGACCUCCUGGUCUUUGAAUAAAAGACGGCCUUUGUGCUGUCUCUCAUGGAUGAUCCCGCGGCGUAUUAGUUAGUUGGUGAGGUAAUGGCUCACCAAGACCAUGAUACGUAGCCGACCUGAGAGGGUGAUCGGCCACACUGGGACUGAGAACGGCCCAGACUCCUACGGGAGGCAGCAGUAGGGAAUCUUCCACAAUGGGCGAAAGCCUGAUGGAGCAAUGCCGCGUGAAUGAAGAAGGUCUUCGGAUCGUAAAGUUCUGUUAUUAGAGAAGAAAAAAUCAAGGCGUAACUAUCUUGGUUUUGACGGUACCUAACCAGAAAGUCACGGCUAACUACGUGCCAGCAGCCGCGGUAAUACGUAGGUGACGAGCGUUGUCCGGAAUUAUUGGGCGUAAAGGGAGCGCAGGCGGUUGGAACAGUCUGAUGUGAAAGCCCACGGCUUAACCGUGGAAGGUCAUUGGAAACUGUCCAACUUGAAUACAGAAGAGGUAAGUGGAAUUCCAUGUGUAGCGGUGAAAUGCGUAGAUAUAUGGAGGAACACCAGUGGCGAAGGCGACUUACUGGUCU
rnacentral:rRNA from 1 species